CACGAAGGUUUGAUGUAAAGACUAUUUCAUCCCCUAGACGGUUCCCCAGGGCAUGUUCACUGACAUCAAGGUGCAGAACUUACUUUAAGUAGCACUACGUAUGAGGGCUGUACAUCUCACAAACAAAACAGAAAGACAAUAACUUUAGUAAAAAGAUGGAUACCAUUCAAGCCCAAGGAAAACCAAUGCUUCUUUUCAUCUAUGGACUCAAGUCUCAGAAAGCAGAGAAGUGAGUGUACCAAGUGCAACAAACGUUUGAGCAUUGUUCUGCUGCCAAUAUUGAAGACAGCCACUGCUUUGAAGUGUGGGGAGGAGGGAAUUCUUGGUAUGAUAGGACAUGAAAGCUGAGAGAAAACCCUUCUACCUAGGAACUCCGGAGUUUCAACUACCAGAGACUGAAGGCAGGAGAGAAAAACUAAGACAAAUGACUUCAAAGCCUUUCUGAAAUGCCACAGAGGGUCAGGAUUACAAUCUGCCUAUUCUGAUUCUUCUACUAUGGGAAAAAAUCUUUUUCAGAAUUGAUGUAAAGCCUCUGUUAAUACUUUUCCUGUUAACAACCUAACUAUUCAACUGCUGAAUAAAAACCAUUAGGACAACUAAAGAAACUGAGAGAUUUUGGCAAGAAAUAGUCAUUCCAAUAUCAAUGACUACGGAGGAAAUGCAAUUACUUUUCUUUGCUUAAGUUUUCCAGGGCCUUUCUCUGUUGCCCAGGCUGGAGUGCAGUGAGGCAAUCUUGGCUCACCACAAUCUCUCCCUCCUGGAUUCAAGCAAUUCUCCUGCCUCAGCCUCCCGAGUAGCUGGGAUUACAGGCAUGCACCACUACACCCGGAUAAUUUUUGUAUUUUUAGUAGAGAUGGGGUUUUACCAUGUUGGCCAGGCUGGUCUUGAACUCCUGACCUCGUGAUCAGCCUGCCUCGGCCUCCUAAAGUGCUGGGAUUACAUGCAUGAGCCACUGUGCCCUGCCAACUUGUUAAAUUUUUAAUCAUUCUGCUCACCUUUUGCAACCUUACUGACUUUUGUGUCUACCUUAUCUAGCAGUGGCUGAAAUUUCCUUCUAUGAUUAUAGAUUUGUCUGUUAUUUCUUAUAGAUUUCUCAAUAUUGCUUGUAUUAUUAUUUUAAGUUAAUACCAUUAGGCAUAAAAAUUCAAAAUUGUUAUCGCU
rnacentral:lncRNA from 10 species